rnacentral:rRNA from 1 species
CGUGUAGGCGGCCACCGCAAGUCGACUGUGAAAUCUCCGGGCUUAACUCGGAAAGGUCAGCCGAUACUGCGGGGCUAGAGUGCAGAAGGGGCAACUGGAAUUCUCGGUGUAGCGGUGGAAUGCGUAGAUAUCGAGAGGAACACCUGCGGCGAAGGCGGGUUGCUGGGCUGACACUGACGCUGAAACGCGAAAGCUAGGGGAGCGAACG